rnacentral:lncRNA from 1 species
CUUUUUCCCUUUUUUUUCCUCGUUUUUCUCCCCGUUUUUUCUUUUUUGCGGGCUGGCUCUGGGCGCCCGGCAGCGGCGGCCGCGCUGCCCCGCGCUUCCCCGGCUCGCUGGAAGCUGAGGGAUGCGACUCCGCCACCAUGAUGGAAGGACUGAAAAAACGCACCAGGAAGGCGUUCGGGAUACGCAAGAAAGAAAAGGACACCGACUCCACAGGGUCGCCGGACCGCGACGGGCUCAAGAAGAGCAACGGCGCCCCGAACGGCUUUUACGCGGAGAUCGACUGGGACAGAUACGUAAGUGCGGGCCGCGUCCGCGCGUGGGCAUCCCGCGUCGCCGCUCUGCCCUCUCCCCACGGAAACUGAGGUUUCACCGCGGAAAGCACCCCGGGUUGGGGCAGAUCUCACCGCGCGGCUCGGGCCUGCAGCAAAUGCUCUUUUUUUGCUGCCGUUUUUGCUGCAGGCGCUCGCUUGGCAGCGGGUAGCCCCGAGGGGUGUGCGGGGAGCCCGGGCCCUUCCCGCGGCUGCAAAGGCGCCCGGAAAGCGCGCGGGCGUCGGGUGCCGGCGGGUCCGGGGCCACCUCGCGCGGGGCCGGCGACGACACCCCCGGGCACGGGGCCGCGGCGAUGCUGACUCCGCUUCUCCCGCUGCCGCCGCAGAAUUCGCCCGAGCUGGACGAGGAGGGCUACAGCAUCCGGCCGGAGGAACCGGGCUAUAUCCUUUACGGCCCGGCCGCGGGGCGGGCAGCCGUUUGCGG